UCUCCAGAGAGUGAAUGAGGACCUAGGCGCCAUGGGAAAAGGUCCUCACAGUAGGUUGGGAAGGUCCCCCUUCUGCACUUGCGGGAACAGGUGGAGGCGGUGGCCCUUCUGGUCGAGGGGGAGAAGGAGCUACUUUUACUUCCCGGACCGGUUGUCCCAAAGGCUAGGAUGAGUCUCCCAGUACUUCUUCUGAAUCUUGCCUCGGCGUCUGUGAUAUUGCAGCGAUCUUCAUUUCCCGCACCUUUCUGGAGAUCUUCCUCUUCCGCUUAUGGCUCUCCUUGGAAGCCUCGCCG
rnacentral:misc_RNA from 1 species